GCAGAGGUUAGUCUAAGCGUCCCCAGACUUGUUUCUCUACAUAUAACUGCACUCUGACGGUCUGGAGGUGAAGUGAAACAAAUCUCGAUGGGAAUCGUAGCAGGUACGAUUCUGCAGAACAUCACGAGCGACGAGCAUAAAAGCUUUCUGUACAAGGGGGCUCAUACGCUCAGGGCUGAGAAAUCAGCUGUCAACCACUGGUCACGCGGGUGACAUAGUGGUACAACUCAAGGGUCUGACCAGACCUCACUGGACACACGGAAAACUUACAAACACACCGCUGUACAUACGGUACAACAUGGCUUAAACAGCAAAUGAUGCUUUUCUGCGCAUAAAACUGACUAAGACAUACUAAAAUGUGAGAACACUGACUGAGAGGAAUUAAUUAACACACGACAUAUAUCUUCUCUCAAUCUUCUCGACAAUACUGAAAUAAUUACUAGAACACUCGAUGGUGACAUCAUGUGAUGUCAGGCGUGAUGUCGCGAGGUGACGUCAGCAGACAUCUCGAGGUGACGUCAGGCAGACAUCGUGAGGUGACGUCAGCAGACAUCGUGAGGUGACGUCAGCAGACAUCGUGACGUCAUGAAGUCGGGCAGCAUCGUGGGUGGCGUCGAUGUGAUGCGGGCAGCAGACCACAGCAUGUGGCCUUGGGACAUCUGGUAACUCACGUGGCUUUGUAGGUCUACGUGACAUCGGCCACACCCAUGUGACGUCGUAAUCCACGUAGCUUCGAGUGGCCUCGGGCACUCGGAUACACAGCACUGGCAAUGAAUUCAUACGAAAAACAGCAGAAAACACAGCAGAGGGAGUGGGCAGUGGUGAGUGGUGUAUGGUAGACGGGUGAGCGUGAGGAGGGCGAGCAUGGGCAAGGUGAGGAACAGCCACUUCCUCUCCUCUCCUCCCCCACCCACAAACACGUGGAGAAGCUCACACUGGACGCAGAAAUCACCACAAAACUCACCUCUGGCUUGCUGAAACAGCUGUGCUGAGCUGAACAACAACAGCAACAUACAAGUGGCGCUGAACACGUGACUUGAGAAACAACAUGGGACACUGUAGCGUGGAGUCACUUACAAUUCUCGGAGAAUUUCGGCAAAUUUCGGCUGGAUCCUGCUAGUACCUGUGUCUGAAUGCUCAAACGUGCAGACACGACAUCAGGAUAACUCGUUGAGAGACGGAUGCUUCUUGUGUAGGGUGAUGAAGUGAAGAUGACUUCAUACCUCUUCCUCUCUCUCCAGGCAAACAACUGCUGCAAGCAUCGCUGUCACCAUUUAUAAUGGGGGUUAUUUGGUAGACUGUAGAGCGGUGUUAAUGAUAUUCUUCUUCGGAGGCUUCUUACUUUAUUGUUAAUGUCGUGGUGGGUUACACAGGCUUGUGUGUUUGUGCCCAUGGCCCGGGCAGGGCCAUGCCCACGAGAGAGAGCUGGGAGUACUUGUGUCUUGAUGCCAGGCCGCUGUGAGAGUGAGAGCGAGGCAAGUCUGGGCAUACUGAAGUGGCAAGGCCUAUAGAUGGCAGCAC